UGUAUCUGAAAUCAAGCAGGAUCACCCGCUGAACUUAAGCAUAUCACUAAGCGGAGGAGAAGAAAUUAACUAAGAUUGCCUCAGUAACGGCGAGUGAAGCGGCAAAAGCCCAAAAUGUAAAUCUUGUGCACUACGUGUACACGAAUUGUAAUCUAUAGAGAGUCUUCUCAACGGGUGGAGACGCAGAAGUGGCCUCGAACGGUCCGCCAGAGAGGGUGAAAGCCCCGUAUGUGGUGUCUCUGCUUAACGAGAGGGUUUUCGAAGAGUCGGGUUGUUUUGUAUUGCAGCCCUAAGUGGGAGAUAAACUUCUUCUAAGGCUAAAUAUUAAUGGGAAACCGAUAGCGAACAAGUACUGUGAAGGAAAGAUGAAAAGAACUUUGAAAAGAGAGUCAAAAGACUUGAAAUCGUUGAGAAGGAAGGGGUAGAAAUUUAUUCUUCGGCGUAUGCAGAGUGUAGUCGCCUAACCAUUGCGGGCUUCGAGUACGUCAAAGGCUCUGGUUUGCACCUGGGGAAGUGGCUGCAUGAGUGUGCGUCGUGAGGCAAGAUGGGGUCGGACGGCCACAAAGGCUCUGCAUGACCGGGUUCCUUCGGGAGUCAGUGUGUGGAAGUCGGUGGAAGUUCGGCCUGAGGAUGCUUCGGCGAUCUUGCCAAAAUGGUUUUUACCCACCCGUCUUGAAACACGGACCAAGGAGUCUAUCAUGUAUGCGAGUGUGCUAGUGGAAAAACUAACACGCGUAAUGAAGGUGAUUGAUGCCAAGCGCAAGCAGCAGCAUCGACCGACCAUGAUCCUCUGGUGAAAGGUUUGAGUACGAGCAUAUAUGCUAGGACCCGAAAGAUGGUGAACUAUGCCUGAGUAGGGUGAAGCCAGGGGAAACUCUGGUGGAGGCUCGUAGCGGUUCUGACGUGCAAAUCGAUCGUCAAACUUGGGUAUAGGGGCGAAAGACUAAUCGAACCAUCUAGUAGCUGGUUCCCUCCGAAGUUUCCCUCAGGAUAGCUGGGACAAAUACGCAGUUUUAUUAGGUAAAGCGAAUGAUUAGAGGCAUCGGGGGCGCAAUGCCCUCGACCUAUUCUCAAACUUUAAAUUGGUAAGAACCCUGGCCUUUCUUAAUUGAGGCACAGGGGCUCAAUGCGUGUCCCAAGUGGGCCAUUUUUGGUAAGCAGAACUGGCGAUGAGGGAUGCUCCUAACGUCGAGUUAAGGUGCCCAACUGCACGCUCAUCAGAAACUACAAAGGGUGUUGGUUCAUCUAGACAGCAGGACGGUGGCCAUGGAAGUCGGAACCCGCUAAGGAGUGUGUAACAACUCACCUGCCGAAUGGACUAGCCCCGAAAAUGGAUGGCGCUCAAGCGUGCGACCGAUACUCGACCAUU
rnacentral:rRNA from 1 species